UGCGGGGUCGUCUAAUGGUAGGACGGUGGACUUUGGAUCCACUAAUUCAGGUUCAAAUCCUGGCCCCGCAG
rnacentral:tRNA from 1 species